rnacentral:lncRNA from 1 species
CUAGAGUGUGAGAAGAAGAAGCCAACUUUCUCUGAUUUUCCAUUCUCGUGGUCAGUUUUAUCUCGUUCGAUUUCGUCGUUAUCUUAUUCGAAAGUCUGAAUCUUCUUGGCGUCCGUGAAGCAUUUUUUUUUGCCUGGAAAGUGACUUGAAUCGGCCAAGGAAGAAGAGGGGAUUGUUCAGUCGUUGUCUUGCCAUGGUACCACUAGGUUUAGCUUGAUGAUGGGUUUGGUUUCUAUUAGCACAGUCAUCUUUAUUCGAUCAUUGAUCUUGUUUGCUCCGUGUGAAGCGCAUGAAAGGCACUUACUUUAUCCAAUGCGAUCCCACAGAGACUGUUUUGGAUGUUAAAGCAAAAACGGU